GGCGCUAUAGCCAAGUGGUUACGGCGACAGAUUAGAAUAUGACAAUGUAUCAUCUGUUCCUCUUUGAGGGCGCAGGUUCGAAUCCUGCUGGCGUCG